UACGUAGGGGGCAAGCGUUGUCCGGAAUCAUUGGGCGUAAAGCGCGUGUAGGCGGCCCGGUAAGUCCGCUGUGAAAGUCGGGGGGCUCAACCCUCGGAUGCCGGUGGAUACUGUCGGGCUAGAGUGCGGAAGAGGCGAGUGGAAUUCCUGGUGUAGCGGUGAAAUGCGCAGAUAUCAGGAGGAACACCAAUUGCGAAGGCAGCUCGCUGGGACGUGACUGACGCUGAUGCGCGAAAGCCAGGGGAGCAAACGGG
rnacentral:rRNA from 1 species